rnacentral:rRNA from 1 species
ACAGCAGCAGCCGCGGUAAUACAGAGGGUGCAAGCGUUAAUCGGAAUUACUGGGCGUAAAGCGCGCGUAGGUGGUUUGUUAAGUUGGAUGUGAAAUCCCCGGGCUCAACCUGGGAACUGCAUCCAAAACUGGCAAGCUAGAGUAUGGUAGAGGGUGGUGGAAUUUCCUGUGUAGCGGUGAAAUGCGUAGAUAUAGGAAGGAACACCAGUGGCGAAGGCGACCACCUGGACUGAUACUGACACUGAGGUGCGAAAGCGUGGGGAGCAAACAGGAUUAGAUACCCGGGUAGUCCCUGUCUCUUAUAA